UUUGUGUUGGUUAAAACACGUUCUUUUCUUUUCCUCCUCAACAUAAGAACAACACCCUUCAUCUUCAACAAAGCUGUGGUGGCUUCUCUCUUCCUCUGAUUGUCUUCCUCUUCUUCUCCGAUCAAUCACCGGUGACUCAAACCCUUUUUCGAUUCCGUUCUCUUUCUCUGACGUGAAUCUCCGUUCGUCCUCUUCUUCUCUCUGAUUCGAAGCUUUCUCCGAUUUCGUGGAGAUGAUGUUGCUGGGUUUGAAAGCUGAACGCCGGUAAUGAAACUGUUUGCGAGUUGAAAUUGUUGUUGUGGUAUUGAACAUUUGUGGUUGCUUCGUUUUUGUCCGUUGAUACGAUCUCCUUGUUCUAUGAGCCAUUCAAUUUCCUCUGUUCAAUCCCAGGUUUAAGCCCCAUGGUGAUAAAAUUGGUAUAAAGCUGUUGAAGAUAGUUUUUAAGGAUCGAAGCAAGUCAAAGAGGCCCUUUAGUUUUCCUUUGCCUGUUUUGAUGAUAUUUUAUAUGUGAAUUCAAGGAGAGGUUCAAGAAGGAAACUAAAAACAACAAACCUGUUAUUGUGUUGUGCAGCUGAGUACAAGCUUCGUUGUGGAGGUUUCACAAUUUCAAAGAAUCAAAACCAUUAGUCAUCAAUUCAUUGAAACUCAAAAGUGGACAGUUUUACAACACUCACUUGAUCGGAGCUCAUAAGUGAACAACUUUACACCACAUAAGAAAUAUUGAGUUUUCAAUUAUAUCAUCACAUUUUUAUAUGUGUGGUAUUUGCUGUGAGGCUAAGUAGAGAAAGGAAGGAAAUGUCUCAAGUUGGAUUUUGGGGAAAUUUCUUA